CCGGGUUUGGUCACUGUUCUAUUUUGAAACUUAAAAUAAGAAAAUGUUAGGCACGGUUUUGCUAACUGUGAGCUGCGUUUCAUGGUGAUUGUAGACAGAAGCAUGUUAGGAUCGGAUUCAUCAACAAUUGAUUAUCCAGGAAGAAUUCCUUCGGACAAGAGAUCCGAAAUGAUGUUGCGGCCAUUAGUGAAAAUUUUGCUAAUGACAAGCUUGUUUCUGGGUCCUAUUGAUCAGUACCCAAUGAAAAUGAUAAGUAGCUUCAUCAGCUAUUAAAUGGCCAUUAGUCUUGAAAUGCCAGCAAUCCCAAAUGGAUGAGGAACUGAAACAUGGUAAUGCUACUGUUGAUGUCGCGAAUUAAUUAAAUAGCAAGUUUUUAUGACAUGAUCUGGAAGGUUAAAUGUCACUCCCCCGGAAUGGAAAACCAGAAAUCGGCUCAACAUCUCGUUUCUUAAUAUUUCUUUCUUUUCAAUUUCUAUCCGAAAAAGGAAAGAAGAGAUGACUAGGAAUUCACAAUAUAUUGAUAACUCGAUAAGGUUUUAAUUGAUUAAGAACAGUUGUAGUUGAA